UACGAAGGGGGCUAGCGUUGUUCGGAAUUACUGGGCGUAAAGCGCACGUAGGCGGAUACUUAAGUCAGGGGUGAAAUCCCGGGGCUCAACCCCGGAACUGCCUUUGAUACUGGGUAUCUGGAGUCCGGAAGAGGUGAGUGGAAUUCCGAGUGUAGAGGUGAAAUUCGUAGAUAUUCGCAAGAACACCAGUGGCGAAGGCGGCUCACUGGCCCGGUACUGACGCUGAGGCACGAAAGCGUGGGGAGCAAACAGG
rnacentral:rRNA from 1 species